CCACACGCCUAUACCGAUUGAUGGCUCAGUGAGGCCUUCGGACUGGCCCAGGGAGGUCGGCAACGACCACCCAGGGCCGGAAAGUUGGUCAAACUCGGUCAUUUAGAGGAAGUAAAAGUCGUAACAAGGUCUCCGUAGGUGAACCUGCGGAGGGAUCAUU
rnacentral:rRNA from 1 species